GGAGUCACUUGCUGUAGAGGCUCGGAUAGAGACUUUCCAUUGGCGAAGCUCGGUAGGAAUCCGAUUGCCAGAGAAGUUCAUCUGGGAUUCGCCCGAUGUGGAAACUCGCCUGAAGAUGAUCCAUUGGGGAAGUUCAAUUUUAUGAAGGAUCUUGGUGGAGGGUCAGUCGGUGAUGGACUUCGGAUGGCAUUGGGGAGGUUCAGCAGGCACCGGAGG
rnacentral:lncRNA from 1 species